AUGCAGUCGAGCGAAAAAGUUUCUUCGGAAAUUAGUAAAGCGGCGGACGASUGAGUAAUACGCAAGAACCUACCCUUUUGUGAAGAAUACCUUCGAGAAAUUGAGGUUAAUACUGCAUAAGUCCCUACGGGGAGAAAGGCAACUUUAUGUUGUCGCUGAAGGAUGGGCUUGCGGGCUAUCAGCUAGUUGGUGAGGUAAUGGCUCACCAAGGCUAUGACGGCUAACCGGCCUGAGAGGGUGUACGGUCACGUUGGAACUGAGAUACGGUCCAAACUCCUACGGGAGGCAGCAGUGAGGAAUAUUGCGCAAUGGGCGAAAGCCUGACGCAGCGACGCCGCGUGGAGGAUGAAGGUCUUAGGAUUGUAAACUCCUGUCAGAUGGGAAGAAAGACCCAGGUAUAAGAUAUAUGGGGGAUGACGGUACCAUCAGAGGAAGCACCGGCUAACUUCGUGCCAGCAGCCGCGGUAAUACGAGGGGUGCAGGCGUUAUUCGGAAUCAUUGGGCGUAAAGGGUGUGUAGGUUGUAUAUUAAGUCUGUUGUUAAAUCUUUUGGCUUAACCAAAAAAUCGCGAUGGAAACUGGUAUGCUAGAGGGUGAAAGAGAGGAGUGGAAUUCUCGGAGUAGCGGUAAAAUGCGUAGAUAUCGAGAGGAACACCGAUGGCGAAAGCAGCUCCUUGGCUCAUUCCUGACAUUGAAACACGAAAGCGUGGGGAGCAAACAGGAUUAGAUACCCUGGUAGUCCACGCCGUAAACGAUGAUCACUAGACGUCAGUUUGGCUUUGCCG
rnacentral:rRNA from 1 species